UUCUGCAUCGAUCAGACCAUAUCAGCUACACAAAUCAUGGCCAAUCUCCAAACUGAUUUGAAUUACAACUUUUUGUGUUGACCAUCUAUGAACAUCUCAUGUACUUCUAUCUGUAGGAGCAUAGGUUCAAAGAGUGUUUAAAGCUUUGGCGGUGUGGCGCCAGCCACCCAAUAUUCUUCCAGUAAUUAUCUCCUUAGCCAUACCAUGUUUAUAGAGUUGGGGAAAUACACUUUGGUUCCUGAUUGUAUAUGUACCCUAUAUAAGGAAUUUUUCUUAAUAAUCAAAUAAAANNNNNNNNNNGAAAACAGUUCAGAAGUAUUUUUAUUAAACUUGACUUUGUUUUGCACUAGUAUAUAAUUUUUCAAAAAAUAAAACCAAUAUUGACUUCUGGGCAAAAAAACAAAAUUUAUUUGUUAUUAUAUAUAGGUAACUAUUCAUGCUAUUUUGACCGAAAAUUUCUUUUUAGAAAAUAAGUCAAAAUGUAAUUUUAUUUUUGUGAAUUUUUCUCACAUGUACAAUGAAAGGUCAAGUUUAUUUUGAAAAUAUUUUUAGAUUUUGACUUUUUAUUGAAAUUUUAAUUUGUUUUUGCAUAUAGGAUGUAGAUACACGCAGGAACCAAAAGUUCACAUCCAUAGAGUUGGCAUCUAAUGAAUGUUUAGUUAUUUCCUUCAUCCUUAAAGUUAGAAAAGCCGCAAGUAGGGCUUCCAGAAAGAAUGAAUUAAAGACCCUUUUCUGCGCAAGAAUUGCUCGUGUUUUGCAGGCCAUGUUCAUAGAACUUAUGUCUGGUUUUCUAUCUACUGUGCCNNNNNNNNNNNNNNNNNNNNNNNNNNNNNNNNNNNNNNNNNNNNNNNNNNNNNNNNNNNNNNNNNNNNNNNNNNNNNNNNNNNNNNNNNNNNNNNNNNNNGUUCUACUUUCACUACACCACGACACUGCAUUCCCUACGGACGGGUGUUGGGAAAAGUCAGUAUCGCCGACCAACUGUUUGUCAGGAAAGCUUAUGACAAACAGUCGGUCGGGAAAUCUAACUAACAAUAACAAACAGUCGGUCGGUAAUACCAGAAACUGUCCUGUCGAGCGGUCGGUCGGGAAAGGUCUUGUGCCCAUCGGACCGUCGGUCGGCAAAUAAUCCCGACCAACAGUCGGACACUAAAUGGGCCUAACGCGGGAAUCACCAAAUUUUAGCGCCAAUUCAGCCCAACUCGCGGUCUUUUUCCCUUAUUUUUCCCCUGCCUUAUCUUCUCCAACGCAAAAAGCUCCCGUGCAUGCCUCACCAGCCCCGCCGCCCGCGCCAUCCCCCGCCGUCCCCCGCCGCCCGCGCCGUCCCCUGCCGCCCAGCUCCUCGNNNNNNNNNNUUUUUCUCCCUUUCAAAAAAGAAAUACUGCUGCAUCGUUGUGUUUCUCUUCCCCGAGAUAAGGAGGACGUAUGUCCAUGCAAUAAACCAAGAACAAGAAGUUGACCAAAAGUUAAGCUUCCAUUUCUGACACAUCCCAUUUCUAUGAAAUCUGGCAUCACAUCUGCCCUGCUAAAUGUGACCGUAAUAGCUACAAAGAGAGACAGACCUUUUGUUAAAAAAAAAGAGACAGACCAAGCAUCGCUUCAACUUAUGCUACUCCACAGCCCCAUGGGGUUUGUAAUUGUACUCGGGGGUGUGAAGAGUGGUUCGCCAUAUAAUGGUGUGCCAUAAGCAACCUAGCUAUUGCACCACUAUUUAUAAUGUCCAUGUGACGUAUAAAGAGAUGUUAUACAAUGAAUGACUAAUUAUUUUUCUUAUACAUUUGAAGUUGGAAAAGGACGUAUACGGGUUUCUGGUAGAAAUGAAUAGUGCACACGUUACUAUGUGGGAAUUGCUUCCUUUUUUUGUUGGGAGAGUUCAUCAUUUUUUUUUUUGGUAUUGCAUUUACAAGAAAACUAAAAACGCUUUGCUUAGUUCUUCUGGGUUAAUGUUGACUAGUACAAUUUCUUCCUUCAUCUUAUGGUGUUAUGCAUUAAAUCGCACUUCACCUAACAAUUUGAGUCUGGCCAUCAGGGCACGACAAGAGGUAAAUCAUUCUGGACCCGUUCCAUUUAUUCUUCACUAAGAGAUGGGAUUAGUUGGUACUCCAACAUAUACAUGCUUAGGUGAACUAACACCAAAGGUUUGGGAGUUCCAUGUUUGAAAGCCUAUAUUUUAAUUCAGGUGGAAAUAAGGGACGCAUACUAUAUAAAUACGCUAUAAUUUCGCUAAUUACGUGAUGUUAUCAACAUGCAACGUGAACCAGCCGGCUGGAGACUGCCGACCGAAAAUUAUGGGACACCUAUUAAGACCACGAGACAAUUUCCCACUACUAGAUAAAACCAAUACAAGGGAUAUGCACAAAAUGGAACAAAGGCAAUGUUGAUGAACAUGUAAUUAAAAAAUGUAAAACAAGCGUAUUGCAUGGGAUUUGCAUGUAUUGUCACUUUUCAGCCUUUAAUUCUUUUGGAUGAGCCUUGAACUACUGCGUUGUCUACACAUACUCUUUUUUUAGCAGGACAAAAGGACAAAUAAGGCUUCUAAUAAAAAUGAAUCGUGCACCUCUUAUCACUGUCGGAAGGGAAGGUGUCGGUUGAACUCCUAUGCACCCACACACACUAUCUUAAUCGAUUACUUGCCUUUGGGAUUGGAACCACUGGCAGACCGUAUCAAAACCUACCACUGCAAGGUGCUUAGAAACACCACUCCUAGGAAGGGAUUGCUCUUUUUUUUAGCGAGUGGCAAAAAAUGUUUGUUUAGCUCAUUUCUGGGCGAGCAUCAACUUCAUACCNNNNNNNNNNAGCCAGUGGCAUCUACUAGACCACUAAAAAAUGUUUGUUUAGCUCAUUUCUGGGCGAGCAUCAACUUCAUACCACAUUGUUUUCCUUCAUCCUCCUCCCGAGUGCAUCCAGCUCUUCACGUGAAUACUUGUCUUGAGGUAUUGACGACAACUCUACCUGAACCACUACUCAGCUUGUUGAUCGAAGUUAUUGUAGACAAACCCUUAAUCAACAGAUUAGCAUAAUAUAUUAGUGCAUUCCCAACGCAUCCCACUUCUAGGAAAUCUCGCAUAAAGACAAAGAGUAGUGAACCUUGCUUCUGCAUCGAUCAGACCAUAGCAGCUACACAAAUCAUGGCCAAUCUCAAAUCUGAUUUGAAUUACAACCUUUUGUGUUGACCAUCUAUGAACAUCUCAUGUACUUGUAUCUAUAGGAGCAUAGGUUCAAAGAGUGUUUAAAGCUUUGGCGGUGUGGGGCCAGCCACCCAAUAUUCUUCCAGUAAUUAUGUCCUUAGCCAUAUCAUGUUUAUAGAGUUGGGGGAAAUACACUUUGGUUCCUGAUUUGUAUAUGUACCCUAUAUAAGGAAUUUUUCUUAAUAAUCAAAUAAAAUGUCAAAACAGUUCAGAAGUAUUUUAUUAAACUUGACUUUGUUUUGCACGAGUAUAUAAUUUUUCAAGAAAUGAAACCAAUAUUGACUUCUGGG
rnacentral:lncRNA from 1 species